rnacentral:rRNA from 1 species
CAGUCGCCACGGUAAUGCGAAGGGGGCUAGCGUUGUUCGGAUUUACUGGGCGUAAAGGGCGCGUAGGCGGACUGAUAAGUCAGGGGUGAAAUCCCAAGGCUCAACCUUGGAACUGUCCUUGAUACUGUUUGUCUUGAGUUCGAGAGAGGUAAGUGGAACUGCGAGUGUAGAGGUGAAAUUCGUAGAUAUUCGCAAGAACACCAGUGGCGAAGGCGGCUUACUGGCUCGAAACUGACGCUGAGGCGCGAAAGCGUGGGGAGCAAACAGGAUUAGAGACCCCAGUAGUCCCUGUCUCUUAUAC